UCCAGGGUGUACAAACAGUAUGUGUACAUGCAGUGACUGAUUAACAGGCAUGCAGUGACUAACUAAGCACUUUCCCUUCUAGGAUCUAUAGAAGCAAGAAAUAUAUUACCAACCCCAGUCCUCGGCCCAGAAGAGGUUAAAGGCAACAGAUUUCUUCAUCCAUUUCUUUAUCUAGACAGCAAAUUUAAGGAUCAGUGGGAAUUCAGCCAUUAGGUAGUGGACAUGUUCAAUACAUCUACAGAGAGAUGGUCUUCAUUAACAACAAAGACACCCCAUUCACCUGCAAGUCUCUCCAAUCUUGUUAACCAUUACAAAAAGUCACUCAAUGCUGUUUUUCUCUCUAAGAGUGGCCUCCAUCAUGACCCUAACCAGUGUGAAGUUGUUACUGAAGAUAAAUGAAUCAAUGAAUGACAUUUUUUAUUGCUCAUUCUUAUCAGGCCCAGACUGACCAUCGGGAGCACCAGGAGAAUUCCUGUUGGCCUGACGACUGAUUUUCCCCGCUGCCCUGCUGUUUUUGUUUAUUUAUUUACUUACAUACUUACUUACUUAAUUGUUAUAAUUUUAUAUUAUUGCAUGUCCACUGUACUCAAGUGAUCCUUUCUGAAUUCUGCAUUCGAUAAUAAAUUAAUAAUAAAUCGGGAAUCUGUUAAUCUUGACUUGCAAUGCUACCAUUCUCCCCAGCUCUGGCUCCGGUUUGGAACAUUACUGAGCCAUCACUGCACAGAGGAUGGAGAGGAAGUGGCCUGGUGAAGCAGAGAGGGAAAGGCCAGGCAAGAGGAAAGCCCCCUAAACAUAAGCAGCGAAAUGUAGCAAAAAUACUGACCUGUUCAGUUCUUCAAGUGCAGUGGAGAGAGUCAGCCUGGCACUAGCUCUGGUGCAGUGGUCACACUUGAGGGUCAACCUGAGAUGACAGGUAAGAG